rnacentral:RNase_P_RNA from 1 species
GGAGCAGCCUGGAUGAACGCCGGUCACUGCAGGACGGGGUGGCGGGAGGAAAGUCGGGGCUCCACAGGGCAGGGUGCUGGUUAACGGCCAGUCGGCGUGAGCUGCAGGAAAGUGCCACAGAAAUCAGACCGCCUCUCCCGCAAGGGAAAGGUAAGGGUGAAACGGUGGGGUAAGAGCCCACCGCGCUCCUGGUGACAGGGGCGGCACGGCAAACCCCACCCGGAGCAAGAGCCAAUAGGGGAGCGUCGACCUCGAAAGGGGAAGACAGGACGGCCCGUCCCACGCUCUCGGGUUUGCUCGCUAAGGACGUAGCGAGGGCGGCGGCAACGUCGCCUCUGGAUGAAUGUUCAUCGCCCGGGCAACCGGGAACAGAACCCCGCUUACAAGGCUGCUCCGACC